rnacentral:rRNA from 1 species
AGAGUUUGAUCAUGGCUCAGAAUCAACGCUGGCGGCGCGCUUAACACAUGCAAGUCGCACGAGAAAAUCCGCAAGGAUGAGUAAAGUGGCGUACGGGUGAGUAACACGUGGAUCAUCUACCUUUUAGUGGGGAAUACCUCCUGGAAACGGGAGACAAUACCGCAUAAGCUCGAGAGAGGAAAGCAGCAAUGCGCUGAAAGAGGAGUCCGCGGCUGAUUAGCUAGAUGGCGGGGUAAUGGCCCACCAUGGCGAAGAUCGGUAGCCGGCCUGAGAGGGCACACGGCCACACUGGCACUGAAACACGGGCCAGACUCCUACGGGAGGCAGCAGUGGGGAAUCUUGCACAAUGGAGGAAACUCUGAUGCAGCGACGCCGCGUGAGCGAUGAAGCCCUUCGGGGUGUAAAGCUCUUUCGACGGGAACGAUAAUGACGGUACCCGAAGAAGAAGCUGCGGCUAACUACGUGCCAGCAGCCGCGGUAAUACGUAGGCAGCAAGCGUUGUUCGGAAUUACUGGGCGUAAAGAGUGUGUAGGUGGUGCUCUAAGUUUGGUGUGAAAUCUCCCGGCUUAACUGGGAGGGUGCGCCGAAAACUGGAGUGCUUGAGUAUGGGAGAGGUAAGCGGAAUUCCUGGUGUAGCGGUGAAAUGCGUAGAUAUCAGGAGGAACACCUGGUGUAGACAGCUUACUGGACCAUCACUGACACUGAGACACGAAAGCGUGGGUAGCAAACAGGAUUAGAUACCCNNGUAGUCC